UACGGGGGGGGCAAGCGUUGUUCGGAAUUACUGGGCGUAAAGGGCGCGUAGGCGGCCUUCUAAGUCAGACGUGAAAUCCCUCGGCUCAACCGAGGAACUGCGUCUGAUACUGGAAGGCUUGAAUCCGGGAGAGGGAUGUGGAAUUCCAGGUGUAGCGGUGAAAUGCGUAGAUAUCAGGAGGAACACCGGUGGUGUAGACGGCUUUCUGGACCGUAACUGACGCUGAGACACGAAAGCGUGGGUAGCAAACAGG
rnacentral:rRNA from 1 species